AUGUGCAAUGCUGAAUUUGUAUGGUUUGAAAUGUAUGGAAACAGAGAAUUGAUAUGGUCGCAGGGUCUAUUCAUGUUAUUUGUUGACUGGUUUUUUCGCUAUGUGCAUAUCUGUAUUAUAACGUUUUUUCUGUUUUGUAAAUGGAAAGUUUUAAUGUGUUUUUGUAUUGUAUAUGAUGUAUGUAUUUGGCCAUAG